rnacentral:miRNA from 1 species
CUUCCAAUCAAUGAGGUAUAACAACCUCAUCAAUUGGAAGGGAUUCCUUCCAAUUGAUGAGGUUGUUACAUCUCAUUGACUGGAAG